GGUGGGGAAGGCAGCAGCCAUGGAGGGGUCCAGUUAUGGG
rnacentral:SRP_RNA from 12 species